rnacentral:rRNA from 1 species
UACCUGCAGCUCGAGUGGUAACCGCUAUUAUUGGGCCUAAAGCGUCCGUAGCCGGUUUGGUAAAUAUCUGGGUAAAUCGUGAGGCUUAACUUCACGAAUUUCGGAUAGACUGCCAGACUUGGGAUCGGGGGAGGUCAGAGGUACUCCAGGGGUAGCGGUGAAAUGUUGUAAUCCUUGGAGGACCACCGGUAGCGAAGGCGUCUGACUAGAACGAGUCCGACGGUGAGGGACGAAGCCCUGGGGCGCAAACCGGAUUAGAUACCCGGGUAGUCCAGGGUGUAAACGAUGUGGGCUUUGUAUUGGAGGUCCCACGUGGGCGUCCAGUGCAGAAGAGAAGUUGUUAAGCCCACCGCCUGGGAAGUACGGUCGCAAGGGCUAGGAAACUUAAAGGAAGUUGGCGGGGGAGCACAGCAACGGGAAGAGCGUGCGGUUU